AAGAUAAUAAAAGCAGGCUGCGUGAGCCAACAGUGGCAACUUGUUCGGGUAUCCUUCCCCAGUGUGGAAGCUUUAGUUCUUUUGCUCUUUGCAAUGAAUCUUGCUGCUGCUCACUCUUUGGGUCCACGCUGCGUUUACACUGUGUUUAUGAGCUGUAACACUCACCACAAAGGUCUGCAGCUUCACUCCUGAAGCCAGCAAAGACCACGAACCCACCAGGAAGAAGGAACAACUCCAGACACGCAGCCUUAAGAGCUGUAACACUCACUGCCAAGGUCUUCAGCUUCACUCCUGAGCCAGCCAGACCAUGAACCCACCAGAAGGAAAAAACUCGGAACACAUCCCAACAUCAGAAGGAACAAACUCUGGACAUGCCGCCUUUAAGAACUGUAACAACGCAAGGGUCCGCGGCUUUAUUCUUGAAGUCAGUAAGACCAAGAACCCAAUUCCGGACACGUUUGGACCAGACAAAGUCUUCCUAUGUUGCCCAGGCUGAUCUCAAACUUCUGGGUUCAAGGGAUCCUGCCACCUCAGCUUCCCACACUGAUGGGAUUAUAGGCAUGAGCCACUGCACCCUGCCUAGGCCCACAAGGGCAAGACUUCAUGAGGUUCUGGUGACCAAGCAUGCUCAUCGCUGUCCUGGGACUGCUCCAAGUGCAAUUCAAAGAUGUUUGUUACAAAUGAAGAUCCUCUCCUCAGAGAUCCUCAUUCCCUGCAUUUGAGAUGGGCCCUGGGAACCUUCAUUAUUAACUCCUGAAUUUCACUUGGACCAACACGGUGAUGGUGACAAGCCCAGCAGAUGGAAAGGCAGCUCAACAUCUGAGAAGCCAGUCUUACUCCCUGCAGGCAACAGCUGCUUCCAGAAAACAGCCCUGUAAUUGUCACCAUCAAAUCCAUAUAUUUUCAAGGGAAGUUGGUCCCACACCAGAAGUCAUAGCUGAAUCACCAGCAGUAAUGCAGGGACAUACUGGUUGCUUCUUGGCUUUUCCAACCCUCUGCCAUGCUUGAACAUCUUUGUGAAAGUCCAGGAACAACAAAUAAGCUUAAGGAUAAAAGCCCCCCAGCCAUACCACCACAACCCCCUGUUAAACUCAUGCAUGACUUGUAGAAUCCUUUCCCCACUGUCACUAAAAGGCUUUUUACAUUUUCCCUCCUUAAAACACCAGUUUACUGAAUGGAACGCUAUUUCCUAAAUAUUUGCUACACACACAGCUGUAUAUAGAGUUCCCAGGAGAUGACUUUUUUCUUGUCAUCUUUUAAAACUACAGUUAUAUGUUGAUUUAAUUAUCUUCUCUCUAGAUUACUUCACCAAAGUACAGUUCCUACAGGAAGAUAAUGAUCUGACCUAACCUACUAUUGGCUGAAGGAAGGAGAAAAGCAGCUGAAGAUGUCUGUUGAGUGAUUACCCUCAUAAUCCGUGACUAAGAACAUCCAAAUCAGCAUGGCUUCUUCCUGUCUGAAAUUAUUACUACUUAGGGUUUUUCACGUGUUAUUUCAUUUAUUGAUUAUUCUGUUUUAAACUUGCAAGACGUAUUGUCUCUUCAGAAAUAAAACUUUAUCACUUGCUUCAUCAAU
rnacentral:lncRNA from 1 species